AAGGCCUACUCAAGUGGGCGGAUUAGCACUGCGAGUGAAAUAUUGUCAUCUGUCUGUUUGCUCAGGGCCUCACCGUUAGCGGCUCCAACUGCACCUCCAGGCACCGGUCAAAUUCGAACUCCCACCAUCUCAGUUACGCUUCCCUUCCUAUCUCUCUUUCCCAUCCCUUUAUCUCUCUACUCUCUAAAUUCUUUUAUCUAUCAAAUUCUCAAAAUUCAACUUGCCUGAUAAAUUGAGUGAUGGUAAUUUUGAUUCAAUUUCGAACUUGUGAAGUUGCAACUCCAAAAAGGGCAGCAACGCCUUGCCAUGCAGCUCCAGCUCCAUCACCGACCACCGUCUUCAGCCCCCACCAACUUGCUAAUCAGAACUCGCUGUGUGACCAUCAACUUGCGUCCACCAGUGUUCUUUUUCUCAGCCGAGGAAAAUUGUUCGAAAUUGCAAUACUGUUGGGAACUUGUUUUUCUAGAGGCCACAAUUGGUGAAAGGAAAUUUGCAACUGUUGUCCGUGGAUAAACUUUUUUCUUUUUCUUGCUGCAGCUGCUGCUCCACUGUUAUUAACAGCUGUUAGCGGUGAUUGUUGGUCGUUGGGAGAAGGUGAAAUCUAUUGCUGAGCUACCUCAACUCUCUUCAGAACACAAGGCAGCCAGCAACCACUGAAAGCCAAUUGCCGUGUACACUCAAAAUGUUGCAGAGUGCAGGAAGUUAUGGAUUUUCUGAGUUCUGAAAGCGAAUUGAGAGUGCUGCAAAUCGGAACUGAUGUUACACGAGGAUGUGUCUUCGGGGCCAAGGAAGCGAAGGACGACACAUUUUGUUGUAUAGUUCCUAAGUAGUAAUUAUGUAAAGGCUGGUAGUAUUGCAUUCGUUUAUUCUUUUUGCUCAAUAUUGCAAUAAGAAGCCCAAGCUGAAGAGAAAUAACAGGUUGAGUGAUAUGAAUUAGGAUUUGUUGUUGUAGGUUCUUCUUGGUUGUGUCUCCUUUUUUGUCAUCCAUUUCAAAUGAGCCCAAAAAGAAAGGACAAGAAAUGGGAGUGUAAGGAAAACUAGAACAAGAAAGAACACGUUCUAGUUUUGUUUUGUUUGUUUCUUUGUUUUAGUUUGUAUUUAGAAGUUGAAAUCUGAUUAUAAGAAUUGUGUGUGUAAAGGAUAAGUGGCUCAAAUUCACCUCUUA